CAGGUACUCCUACGGGAGGCAGCAGUGAGGAAUAUUGGUCAAUGGACGCAAGUCUGAACCAGCCAUGCCGCGUGAAGGAUGAAGGCGUUCUGCGUUGUAAACUUCUUUUAUCUGGGAAGAAACCUACCUUUUCUAAGGUAGCCGACGGUACCAGAGGAAUAAGCACCGGCUAACUCCGUGCCAGCAGCCGCGGUAAUACGGAGGGUGCAAGCGUUAUCCGGAUUCACUGGGUUUAAAGGGUGUGUAGGCGGGUAUUUAAGUCCGAGGUGAAAUCUCUGAGCUCAACUCAGAAACUGCCUUGGAUACUAUUUAUCUUGAAUAUCGUUGAGGUAGGCGGAAUAUGUCAUGUAGCGGUGAAAUGCAUAGAUAUGACAUAGAACACCAAUUGCGAAGGCAGCUUGCUAAACGAUGAUUGACGCUGAGGCACGAAAGCGUGGGGAUCAAACAGGAUUAGAUACCCUGGUAGUCCACGCCCUAAACGAUGAUUACUCGACAUACGCGAUAUACAGUGUGUGUCUGAGCGAAAGCAUUAAGUAAUCCACCUGGGAAGUACGACCGCAAGGUUGAAACUCAAAGGAAUUGACG
rnacentral:rRNA from 1 species